CCUCGUCUGAGCCCUGGCCUGUGCGUGCCGAUGUUCACUGGAGGUUAAGUAUGUUGUGUGUGGCAUCUUCGGUCAAGAAAGGUGACUACGGAGCUGGCAAUUUCUCGACGGGCUUUGGGGAACCGAGCGCCGUCAUGACCGUUGCGCAACAACGAACUUCAUCACUAGUGAGUGCCCUAAUUGAGUUUGCAGGAUUCUUGGCUGGGUAUUAGGCGUUGUGGGUGUGAGAUUGGAGCACUGGGGUACCGUGACACGGUGCUCCGGCAAGCCCUCAACCGUGCGGGGCGGAGGAGCGGCUAUUGCCGGCGGCUAUGGGUGGAAGAUGACCUGUGUGUUGUGGGAUCAUGGACGAACGGUGGUGAUUAAAUCUUUCCUUACCUCUUCGUCUCAUAUAGAUUCAGCCGUUGCGGGGUGAUCGGGUGGUGGAGAUUGGAUUACGCCAAAAUUAAAUCUGGAUCAUAGAUCUGAAAUCCGAUGCCCCUGGUUGCCUACCGAUUUACAUAUAAUCUGGGCACUUGAUGAGUGAUCCAACGGCUCAGAUCAUCCAAUACCCCUUCGACCGUGCGUAAUUUGUUAAAGACUCCAUGGAUUUUUAUGGAACCAACCCGUGCUCCACCGCACUAGAAGAACCAUCGCCAAUAGGUCCUAAACUUUAUGUUUUAAACCUUGAACUUGGUUAAAAUAGUGUCUGCAGUCCACAGUUCUUGAAUUAAGUAAAAUAAUUUUGAGAAAAUGAUUUUUAGUAUAAAAAUAAUUCUAGAAACUUGUUUAAUUUAUAUUUAAUUCAUAUUAACUCCUUUUUGACCCAUUCCAGUUGCAUUAAAUUCAUAAUAAUGUUGUUUAUCAUCUAGUAACCUUAUUUUGUUAUGAAACAUAGGUUAAAUUUAUACACUUAGUUGGUUUUAUAUCUAACACCUAAAUGUUGGGGAAAUCAUAACUCUUUAACCGUAACUCCGAUUUUAGUGGUUCUCGAACGUAGGAUCUCGUCGCGAUGCGUAGAUCACUAUUAUGAAGUUUGUUCUUAUGUUUGGUGUAAUGAUAAUUUUGCCUAUACCAUGUUUGUUUGUAUCGCAACGAUUAGUAGCGAGGGUUACGAGAAUCUUAAAGACCAAGCUGGUACCUGGGAAUAUUGAGUCACAGGCAAGUUGUGCCCUUGAUCACUUUUCUUUACCCAAUAAUGUUCCUGUUAAUCACUGUAACAUGCUCAGGUUAAUUUGAUGGGACCCAAUAGAUUUCCACUAGCAUUGUUUAUCCCCUACCUUGCAAACAAAAGCAUUAUUGGGUAGUUUUCCUAUUGCUCUACCUGGUUUUGGGAAAUCAAUGUUAUAUUAUGAUCAUGUUCCAGUUAUACUGUUGUUUUAAUUAUUGUUCAUGACAAGAUCAUUGUGUUAAUUGGAACAUGGAGCGACCACCCGGGAAAACAGUGCUACCACAAGGGUGGUAUGGGACGCCCUUGGCUGACUAAUUAGGAAGUCUAGUGGAAGAUUACCUUACCCGAAAGGGGCAAGGGCGGUAGAGGAGCUGCAUAUAGGGAGGAUCUCGGGUCGAUCAUGCUGCGAUGACUUUUCGAACGAGGGAUUCCUAUAUUGCCCUUCUCAGAAAUUGUAGCAGGUUUUCAGAAGCUAGUGGAACUUUGUAAAGGCCUCGUAGUGGUACCCUGCCUCAUCUCCUCGGUAGAGAUGAAUGGGAAGUCGCGAUCUCUUGGCAAAUGGGUAACAUGACUUGUGGGUAAAGAUGUGCAACCUCUGCAGGGUGUAAUACUGGUAUAUUAGUCGUGCUCACGGUCAUGAGCAGCUCGGACCCUCACAUGAGUAAUUUAUGGAACUAAACUUAAUUUGUCAUUUGCAUUGCAUUGUGGGUGUUGUUAUUAAUUUUGAUCUCUUACUUAAUUGGGUUGAUAUCUACUUAUACUUAGUAACUGCUAAUAAAUUUUUGACAAACUCUAAAAGUAAUGCUCAGCUUUAACCAUCUCCUUUGGUAAGCCUUACACUUCAUAUGAGCUCCCACCUUUGGUGAGUUUAUGCACAUUAUUCCCCUCAACUUGUUGAGCGAUGAACGUAUGUGAGCUCACCCUUGUUGUACUCACAUCCCCCUAGGUCAAGGUCAGGUACCAUAGGAUGAGGCGCAUGAAGGAUGCAGUGACGAGUUUGUGAGUGGUCUAGGCCGUUGUCUCCCAGUCAACUUUGGUUGCUGGAUCAUUGACUUCAUAUAAUAUAAUUAUUCAUUUAUUUUGUACAGAACUCCUAUUAUAUAGUAAAGAUGUGACAUUCGUUUAUGUACCAUGAGUCAUCAUUUGUGUGAGACUUGAUCCCAACACUCUUGGUGAUUAUUUCGCGCCCGGGUUUUGUCCCCUAAAACCCGGGUGUGAUAGAAGUGGUAUCAGAGCAAUGUUGACUGUAGGACGAAACCUAGAUAGAACUGGAUAACCUUACCUACUUACCUUUGCUACUCUGAUUCUUUCUAAACUUUUCUUAAUCUUUUCUCAUCUAUUGGUGCUUUACUCUGAUUACUCUUACCUUUUCACUUCUAAAGACAAAAGCGGAUUUCACACUUUGAAAUCAUUUACCUAAAGUGACCUUUAGGAAUAGGAGACCUAAUCUUAGGAACAAAAAUAAAACUAUUUUUGUAGGUAUCUAUACGCUUGAAUGUUUUGUUCUUAUGAUAACUGUUUGAUUUGGUUCUUUGAUUGAGUUGUGGAGUAAUGUCCACAAUUGCAUCUGCAUAUACAUAUAGGCAUAAAAAAUGUGUUAUAAGAUAACUAGCCAACCUAGAUUAUCCCCCAUUAAAAAUAUAUCUAGCUUAAUAGAUCCAUUUCAUCUAGUAGAGAUACCUUAUCCUAAUAAGAUACAUCCUACCUUAAAAAGAUUCUAUCUUAUCCACCCAUCUCAACCCAUCCACUUCGCUUAUCUCAUCAUGAAGUAACAACCAUGAUCUAAUCCAAAAUUAAAUAGAUCUUAUCUAGUCAAAUCUAGUCACGCCCAACUAAUCUAGAUCCAAUCUAAAAUGAGUUACUCAACAAGUUAGUUAAUCCUGAUGAAAUAGAUUAGACCCUACUCCUAUAAAUAUGUUUUACCCUAAAUUGGUGCCCUAGGCUAACUUGACCAUAUACAACUACCUGGCCUCAUGUAACUACCUUACCCAUCAAAUGGUUGCAUAGCCCCUCUAUUUCAACCUAACAACAAAACAAAGAUUCUAACCAACCUACCUCAUGAAAUCUAUCCCAUCCAUAAUGCCACCCACAAUUAUCUUAACUACAUGUCCCUAACUCGAAUGAUCACACCACGACCAAAGGAAAGAAGAUGGUCAACCUCGUCAAGGAAGGAUAAGCACCAACUCAACUCUUCAAAGACAAAGACCAAGCGGGAUCACCAGAUGAGUCAAGAUCCACCCUUCAUGAUGGAGUCAUUCCUUGCCAAAAUCUUUCUUACCCAAUAUAUCCUGGCUCUAACCAAAUCUCAUCUUGCCUAAAAAAUAGCUAGACAUAACGAGUACUCAUGCUUUGCUAGUCACCUUACUCGAAGUUAAGAACUUAGAGAAAAAACCUUUGCAUAUUAGAACCAACACUGACCUACAAACCAAAACCCUCUGUAAUCCCUUUUCUUAGUAAUCUCGAGGACGAGAUUAUUUUUAAGGGGGUAGAAUUUGUAACAUCCCAAAAUAUCAUUUUGGGUAAUUUAGAAAAAGUUUAUAUCAAGAUUUAAAUGAUUAUGUUUUGAAAUAAGGGAUUAAAUCAAAAAAUGGAAAAGGCCUCCAAUGAGUUAUUCUUCCUUAAAAAACUUAUACUUCGAAAUAUUCUCUGAAGGAUUACACAAAAUUGUUGCUUAAUAUAGAGUUCAUGGGUAUCUACGAAUAGGUAAUAAACACUUAAUUUUUAAAUAAGGUCAUUUUUUAUUUUAUUUUAUUUUAUUUUAAAAGGGGUCUUUAGUUAUCUCAUUGUGAUGUAUUCUUUAUUGAGCCAUAUAGCAUUUACUUAGAGAAAAUAAAAUCACAUAUACUUAUACUUUGCAUCAUGCUGGGCUUUUUGAUUGUGCAUAUUUAAAUCUGAAACAUCAACAUAGAAUUGAGUUUGAAAUUUGAAAAUUAAAUUUGA
rnacentral:lncRNA from 1 species